rnacentral:rRNA from 1 species
ACGCUCGACACCUACGGGAAGCAGCAGUGGGGAAUAUUGCACAAUGGGGGAAACCCUGAUGCAGCGACGCCGCGUGAGUGAAGAAGUAUUUCGGUAUGUAAAGCUCUAUCAGCAGGGAAGAAAAUGACGGUACCUGACUAAGAAGCCCCGGCUAACUACGUGCCAGCAGCCGCGGUAAUCUGAGGCGGCGUGGACGAAGGC